rnacentral:sRNA from 1 species
GUCCUGCGGGCUCAGCGCCAGCGCCUGCUGGUAGUCCGCCUCGGCAAAGGCCAGGUUGCCCAGCUGGAAGAAGCAAUCUAGGGUCCGGAGGCGGGGGUGAGUGGACCCCCAACUCCCAGUGCCCGGGAGCCCCAGCCCAGCCGGCUCCAGCCCGGGGGCCAGGGCCUGAAACUGGUGGCUGAUAACCCCCUUGGCGGUCGCGGUCUCCGUCCCCUCUAGUUUUCUGGGCGUCUGGGCACUGUUCCCCAGCUGCCUGUUUUGAGCAUUUUAAGGAGUCUGGAGCCAGUUUGUCUAAGGCAACAUUUCCCAGAGGCCUUCCCAGCUCCCACUUCCGGCUACUGACACCCCAAGCUCUGAUGUCUCCAGCUCAGGCUUGGUCCCAAGUCUCAGGCCUUGGGGGUCCUACAGCCCCCUCACUCCAGCAGGCCACACUGAGCACCUCACCUGACUUCUGCCCCGGUUCUCCCAUUUUGGUGAGGUCACCGUCCCCACCAGCUACCCAAGCCAGAGACCUCUGUCCAAGCAGCCGCCGAGCCUUACAAGGAUCUCUCACGUGCCUGGUUCUUGGCAUGGCGGCCAGGGCCUUCCCUGAGUCGGACUGCUGCCCCUGCCUCUCCCGGCCUUCACCCUUUCCUGCGAACCCAGCCUCGGUCUCUGUGCCUGGCCCUCUGGUUUUGCGUUAGUCUUCUCCCUAGCCAGUACCUCGUCCGAAUCUGUCAUGAGGCCCCUUCCAGGAGGACCCCGAGGCCUCUGCCAACUACCUCGCGGCCCUGGUCCUGACGUUGCUAGGCACCAUCACCAGGACGCCCACAGGCCCCACCCCUCUGGCCACGCCCCCGGGAACCAAGCUUUUUGAGCCGGAGGGAGGUAGAAAACUUUUAUUAGC